rnacentral:rRNA from 1 species
UACGUAGGGUGCAAGCGUUGUCCGGAAUUAUUGGGCGUAAAGAGCUCGUAGGCGGUUUGUCGCGUCUGCUGUGAAAACGCGAAGCUCAACCUCGCGCCUGCAGUGGGUACGGGCAGACUAGAGUGCGGUAGGGGAGAUUGGAAUUCCUGGUGUAGCGGUGGAAUGCGCAGAUAUCAGGAGGAACACCGAGUGGCGAAGGCAGAUCUCUGGGCCGUGAACUGACGCUGAGGAGCGAAAGCGUGGGGAGCGAACAGG